AGUGAACGCUGGCGGUAGGCCUAACACAUGCAAGUCGAACGGCAGCACAGUAAGAGCUUGCUCUUACGGGUGGCGAGUGGCGGACGGGUGAGGAAUACAUCGGAAUCUACUUUUUCGUGGGGGAUAACGUAGGGAAACUUACGCUAAUACCGCAUACGACCUACGGGUGAAAGCAGGGGAUCUUCGGACCUUGCGCGAUUGAAUGAGCCGAUGUCGGAUUAGCUAGUUGGCGGGGUAAAGGCCCACCAAGGCGACGAUCCGUAGCUGGUCUGAGAGGAUGAUCAGCCACACUGGAACUGAGACACGGUCCAGACUCCUACGGGAGGCAGCAGUGGGGAAUAUUGGACAAUGGGCGCAAGCCUGAUCCAGCCAUACCGCGUGGGUGAAGAAGGCCUUCGGGUUGUAAAGCCCUUUUGUUGGGAAGGAAAGGCAGCAGGUUAAUACCCCGCUGUUCUGACGGUACCCAAAGAAUAAGCACCGGCUAACUUCGU
rnacentral:rRNA from 1 species